rnacentral:rRNA from 1 species
CGGGUGAGUAACGCGUGGAUAACCUGCCUCACACUGGGGAUAACAGUUAGAAAUGACUGCUAAUACCGCAUAAGCGCACAGUACCGCAUGGUACGGUGUGAAAAACUCCGGUGGUGUGAGAUGGAUCCGCGUCUGAUUAGCCAGUUGGCGGGGUAACGGCCCACCAAAGCGACGAUCAGUAGCCGACCUGAGAGGGUGACCGGCCACAUUGGGACUGAGACACGGCCCAA